rnacentral:rRNA from 1 species
UGGGGAAUAUUGCACAAUGGGCGCAAGCCUGAUGCAGCGACGCCGCGUGAGCGAAGAAGUAUUUCGGUAUGUAAAGCUCUAUCAGCAGGGAAGAAAAUGACGGUACCUGACUAAGAAGCUCCGGCUAAAUACGUGCCAGCAGCCGCGGUAAUACGUAUGGAGCAAGCGUUAUCCGGAAUUACUGGGUGUAAAGGGAGCGUAGACGGAUUUGCAAGUCUGAUGUGAAAGGGCGGGGGCUCAACUCCUGGACUGCAUUGGAAACUGUAGAUCUUGAGUGCCGGAGAGGUAAGCGGAAUUCCUAGUGUAGCGGUGAAAUGCGUAGAUAUUAGGAGGAACACCAGUGGCGAAGGCGGCUUACUGGACGGUAACUGACGUUGAGGCUCGAAAGCGUGGGGAGCAAACAGGAUUAGAUACC